rnacentral:ncRNA from 1 species
UAAAAGUUUUAUUCUUGCUAUUUGCUUAUUUUAUGAUCAUUUUACAUGUGAGGUUUAAUUUUAGAGAUUUAUAGUCUAAAUGACUGUUAAUUUUAUUUUGCAGUAAUACGUAUUAUUAUUUUAAGGUAACUUAGAAGUAGUGAUUUAUAAAUUUCUGGUAAAAGUCGUGCCAGCCACCGCGGUUAUACGUGAAGAGUAAGUAAGCAUUAUUGGCUUCAUAGUUAAUGAGGAAGUUUUUUAUAAAAUGAUAUGUUUAUUAGGUGAAAUUUUAAUUUUCUAUUAUUUAUAUUAUGUGAAGCUAUGAAAUUUAUAUUAAAAACAAGGAUUAGAUACCCUUUUAUUAUAAAAGUGAAGAAUUAAAGCCAGGGUAGUAUUAGUUAUGCUCUUUAAACCCAGAGAAUUUGGCGGUAUUUUAGUCCUUUCAGAGGAAUCUGUCCCGUAAUCGACAACCCACGUGAAAUGUUUACCUAGUUUUGUUUAGCAGUUUGUAUACCUCCGUCAUAAGAGAAUCUUUCUAGAGUUAAAUUUUCUUAAUAUAUUUGUUAUACUAUGUCAGGUCAAGGUGCAGCUUAUAAUUAGGUGGAGAUGGAUUACAAUAUUUAUAUGUAUACGAAGUGAAAUAGUUGUCUUUUUUAUGAAGGUGGAUUUGAUAGUAAUUUUAAUUAUUUAUUAUUUUGAUUUUGGCUCUAAAAUAUGCACACAUCGCCCGUCGCUCUCAUUUUUAAAAUGAGAUAAGUCGUAACAUAGUAGGUGUAUCGGAAGAUGUACCUAGUAAGUAU